UGAAGAGUUAAAACAACAAGCCGCCAGUGUUGACCGAACUCGUGGUGAACACCAUCAGGCUCUGUUUGAUGAGCGCCCUCAUCGGGGUUGCGGACAGUGCCUGGUGGGUAGUUUGACUGGGGCGGUCUCCUCCCAAAGAGUAACGGAGGAGCACGAAGGUGGGCUAAUCACGGUUGGACAUCGUGAGGUUAGUGCAAUGGCAUAAGCCCGCUUAACUGCGAGAAUGACGGUUCGAGCAGGUACGAAAGUAGGUCAUAGUGAUCCGGUGGUUCUGAAUGGAAGGGCCAUCGCUCAACGGAUAAAAGGUACUCCGGGGAUAACAGGCUGAUACCGCCCAAGAGUUCAUAUCGACGGCGGUGUUUGGCACCUCGAUGUCGGCUCAUCACAUCCUGGGGCUGAAGUCGGUCCCAAGGGUAUGGCUGUUCGCCAUUUAAAGUGGUACGCGAGCUGGGUUUAGAACGUCGUGAGACAGUUCGGUCCCUAUCUGCCGUGGGCGUUGGAAGAUUGAAGGGGGCUGCUCCUAGUACGAGAGGACCGGAGUGGACGAACCGCUGGUGUUCGGGUUGUCAUGCCAAUGGCAUUGCCCGGUAGCUAAGUUCGGAAUUGAUAAGCGCUGAAAGCAUCUAAGCGCGAAGCGAGCCCUGAGAUGAGUCUUCCCUGGCACUUUAAGUGUCCUAAAGGGUUGUUCGAGACUAGAACGUUGAUAGGUUGGGUGUGUAAGCGCUGCGAGGCGUUGAGCUAACCAAUACUAAUUGCCCGUGAGGCUUAACCAU
rnacentral:rRNA from 1 species